GACGAACGCUGGCGGCGUGCCUAAUACAUGCAAGUCGAGCGCAGGAAGCUCACGGAACUCUUCGGAGGGAAGUGAAGGGAAUGAGCGGCGGACGGGUGAGUAACACGUAAGGAACCUGCCCCAAGGAUUGGGAUAACUCCGAGAAAUCGGAGCUAAUACCGAAUAGUUCUUCAGACCGCAUGGUCUUAUGAUGAAAGGCGCUCCGGCGUCACCUUGGGAUGGCCUUGCGGUGCAUUAGCUAGUUGGUGGGGUAAUGGCCCACCAAGGCGACGAUGCAUAGCCGACCUGAGAGGGUGAUCGGCCACACUGGGACUGAGACACGGCCCAGACUCCUACGGGAGGCAGCAGUAGGGAAUCUUCCACAAUGGACGAAAGUCUGAUGGAGCAACGCCGCGUGAGUGAUGAAGGUUUUCGGAUCGUAAAACUCUGUUGUAAGGGAAGAACAGGUAUGAGAGGUAAUGCUCAUGCUAUGACGGUACCUUACGAGAAAGCCACGGCUAACUACGUGCCAGCCGCCGCAGUAACAC
rnacentral:rRNA from 1 species